rnacentral:rRNA from 1 species
UCAGGACGAACGCUGGCGGCGUGCUUCAUACAUGCAAGUCGAACGAUAAGGUCUCUUCGGAGACACAUAAGUGGCGGACGGGUGAGUAAAAUGUAGAGAAUCUGCCCUAGAGUGGGGGACAACAGUUGGAAACGACUGCUAAUACCGCAUAUGAGCGUACCUGCAAUGGUAUUCUUGAAAACUCCGGUGCUCUGGGAUGAGUCUGCAUCUGAUUAGCUAGUUGGCGGUGUAAUGGACCACCAAGGCGACGAUCAGUAGCUGGUUUGAGAGGAUGAUCAGCCACAAUGGGACUGAGACACGGCCCAUACUCCUACGGGAGGCAGCAGUAGGGAAUUUUGCGCAAUGGGCGAAAGCCUGACGCCAGCAACGCCGCGUGAUUGAAUAAGCCCUUCGGGGUGUAAAGAUCUGUCAGUAGGGACGAAACUUGACGGUACCUACAGAGGAAGCAUCGGCUAACUCCGUGCCAGCCGCGGC